UACGUAGGGUGCAAGCGUUGUCCGGAUUUAUUGGGCGUAAAGAGCUCGUAGGUGGUUCGGUAAGUCGGAUGUGAAAUCUCCAGGCUCAACCUGGAGGGGUCAUUCGAUACUGCCGUGACUAGAGUUCGGUAGGGGAGUGUGGAAUUCCUGGUGGAGCGGUGAAAUGCGUAGAUAUCGGGAGGAACACCAGUGGCGAAGGCGACUACCUGGCCUGUUCUUGACGCUGAGGCGCGAAAGCUAGGGGAGCAAACGGG
rnacentral:rRNA from 1 species